rnacentral:siRNA from 1 species
UACUCAGUAUCAGGUGACGUGACA